rnacentral:ncRNA from 1 species
UAAGUGGUACGCGAGCUGGGUUCAGAACGUCGUGAGACAGUUCGGUCCCUAUCUGCCGUGGGCGUUGGAUGAUUGAAGGAAGCUGCUCCUAGUACGAGAGGACCGGAGUGGACGAACCGCUGGUGUUCGGGUUGUUAUGCCAAUAGCAUUGCCCGGUAGCUACGUUCGGAAUCGAUAACCGCUGAAAGCAUCUAAGCGGGAAGCGAGUCCUAAGAUGAGUCAUCCCUAGGGAUUUAAUUCCUCUAAAGAGCCGUUCGAGACUAGGACGUUGAUAGGCAGGGUGUGUAAGUGCUGUGAGGCAUUGAGCUAACCUGUACUAAUGACUCGUGAGGCUUAACCAU